GUGCCCUUUGCUUCGGAAUAGCCCCGGGAAACUGGGAGUAAUACCGAAUGUGCCCUAUGGGGGAAAGAUUUAUCGGCAAAGGAUCGGCCCGCGUUGGAUUAGGUAGUUGGUGGGGUAAUGGCCUACCAAGCCGACGAUCCAUAGCUGGUUUGAGAGGAUGAUCAGCCACACUGGGACUGAGACACGGCCCAGACUCCUACGGGAGGCAGCAGUGGGGAAUCUUAGACAAUGGGCGCAAGCCUGAUCUAGCCAUGCCGCGUGAUCGAUGAAGGCCUUAGGGUUGUAAAGAUCUUUCAGGUGGGAAGAUAAUGACGGUACCACCAGAAGAAGCCCCGGCUAACUCCGUGCCAGCAGCCGCGGUAAUACGGAGGGGGCUAGCGUUAUUCGGAAUUACUGGGCGUAAAGCGCACGUAGGCGGAUCGGAAAGUCAGAGGUGAAAUCCCAGGGCUCAACCCUGGAACUGCCUUUGAAACUCCCGAUCUUGAGGUCGAGAGAGGUGAGUGGAAUUCCGAGUGUAGAGGUGAAAUUCGUAGAUAUUCGGAGGAACACCAGUGGCGAAGGCGGCUCACUGGCUCGAUACUGACGCUGAGGUGC
rnacentral:rRNA from 1 species